rnacentral:rRNA from 1 species
GAUGAACGCUGGCGGCGUGCCUAAUACAUGCAAGUAGAACGCUGAAGGAAGGAGCUUGCUCUUUCCGGAUGAGUUGCGAACGGGUGAGUAACGCGUAGGUAACCUGCCUGGUAGCGGGGGAUAACUAUUGGAAACGAUAGCUAAUACCGCAUAACAGUAGAUGUUGCAUGAUAUCUACUUAAAAGGUGCAAUUGCACCACUACCAGAUGGACCUGCGUUGUAUUAGCUAGUUGGUGAGGUAACGGCUCACCAAGGCGACGAUACAUAGCCGACCUGAGAGGGUGAUCGGCCACACUGGGACUGAGACACGGCCCAGACUCCUACGGGAGGCAGCAGUAGGGAAUCUUCGGCAAUAGACGGAAGUCUGACCGAGCAACGCCGCGUGAGUGAAGAAGGUUGUCGGAUCGUAAAGCUCUGUUGUAAGAGAAGAACGAGUGUGAGAGUGGAAAGUUCACACUGUGACGGUAUCUUACCAGAAAGGGACGGCUAACUACGUG